CUUGGUGUUCCACCUUGUGCAUAAAAGGGAAUCAGGUGUAAAUCCUGAGCAGUACCCGCUACUGUAAUCUCCAUUGUGGAAAGUCCUCAAAGCCACUGAGUGAACCUUGGGAAGGCGGACUUUUCGGAGAAAGCCAGGAGACCUGCCACGUCA
rnacentral:ncRNA from 1 species